UCCUCUGGUUCUUGGGUACAAAGAUACCCUCUUCUCUGAGACUCUCUUUUCUCAGUCUUUUCGCCGGUGUUUGGCAGCAAAGGAUCCGAGGAGGAAGCUGUUGGUUGAGCCUCCCUGAUUCUUUGGCUCAAUUUGGAAGUUCUCUUAGGGGAUUGGGAGGUCAGGAGGACGUGGGUCCCCCACCCCUCUCUUCCCCCUAUACAUGGGUGUGAAUCAAAGGCCCCCUUCCCCUCGGGAAGUUCUUUUUCUCCCCUAGACUCUUCACUGCCUGAGGACAUUCCGGUUUUUACUGCUGCAGCAGCUGCUACCCCAGUUCCAUCUGUAGUCCUAACCAGGAGCCCCCCCAUGGAACUGCAGCCCCCUGUCUCCCCUCAGCAGUCUGAGUGCAACCCCGUUGGUGCUCUGCAGGAGCUGGUGGUGCAGAAAGGCU
rnacentral:sRNA from 1 species